rnacentral:rRNA from 1 species
CAAAAACAUAGUUAUGAGAAUAUAUUCAUAAUAAUUUCUGCUCAAUGAUUUAUUAAAUAGCCGCAGUACUCUGACUGUGCAAAGGUAGCGUAAUAAUUUGACUUAUAAUUGAAGUCUGGUAUGAAAGAAUAUAUGGGGGGUAUCUUUAUUUUAUAUAUAAAAUGAAUUUACUAAUUAAGUGCAAAUUCUUAUAUUUGAAAGAUAGACGAGAAGACCCUAGAAAUUUUUAUAAUUAUGGAAAAUUAAUUUUUGUUGGGGCAACAAAGUAACAAGUAAUUUACUGUGCUAUACAAGAAUAUUAUAUAUGUUAGAUUAAAUUACUCUAGGGAUAACAGCGUAAUUUUAAAGAGUUUGCGACCUCGAUGUUGGACUAGGGAACAAAUGCUUAGAAGGCCAAAUGUAAAGCUCUGUUCGAG